AUUGAACGCUGGCGGCAGGCUUAACACAUGCAAGUCGAGCGGGGUGAUGGUGCUUGCACUAUCACUUAGCGGCGGCCGGGUGAGUAAUGCUUAGGAAUCUGCCUAUUAGUGGGGGACAACAUCUCGAAAGGGAUGCUAAUACCGCAUACGUCCUACGGGCGCAAGCAGGGGAUCACUUGUGACCUUGCGCUAAUAGAUGCGCCUAAGUCGGAUUAGCUAGUUGGUGGGGUAAAGGCCGACCAAGGCGACGAUCUGUAGCGGGUCUGAGAGGGUGAACGGCCACACUGGGACUGAGACACGGCCCAGACUCCUACGGGAGGCAGCAGUGGGGAAUAUUGCGCAAUGGGGGGAACCCUGACGCAGCAACGCCGCGUGAGUGAAGAAGGUUUUCGGAUCGUAAAGCUCUGUCAAUAGUGAAGAAGGCUUUGAUCUUAAUAGGAUUAAAGAUGACGGUAGCUAUAGAGGAAGCUCCGGCUAACUACGUGCCAGCAGCCGCAGUAA
rnacentral:rRNA from 1 species